CUGCAAACAGACCCUUAUCGAUAAUUCGGCGAAUAAGGAGCUGGCGAAUAAGGAGCUGGAGUCAGCCUCGUAGAGCUGAGGAACAAAUAACUUUCAGCAGAAACCGUGAACUAAGAGUCAUCAAAGCUUUCGGAUGCAGCUGCAGGGAUUUUCUGAGGAGAGGGGAUCAGUUUACGUUAUUUCUCAUCUUUAAACAACGUCGUGACUAAGUUUUGAAGCAGGAAUAUCUGGAGGAGUAUCAUCUGAACUGAGAUCUGCUGCUGUGAAGAUGGAGUUUGUUAAAGAAGAGAGUGAAGAGAACAUGAGUGGACCAGAAACCUGGAGAAUGAAAGACGAGGAGCCAGAAACCGAGAGAGUAAAACAAGAGGAGCCAGAAACCAGGAGAAUAAAACAGGAGGAACCAGAAACUUGGAGAAUAAAACACGAAGAACCAAAAACCGGGAGAAUAAAAGACGAGGAGCCAGAAACCGGGAGAAUAAAAGACGAGGAGCCAGAAACCGGGAGAAUAAAAGACGAGGAGCCAGAAACCGGGAGAGUAAAACAAGAGGAACCAGAAACCAGGAGAAUAAAAGAUGAGGAAUCAGAAACUGGCAGAAUAACCAGAAACCCGGAGAAUAAAACGCAAGGAGCCAGAAACCCGGAGAAUAAAACACUAGGAGCCAGAAACCAGGAGAAUAAAACGCGAAGAGCCAGAAGCCUGGAGAAUAAAACGCGAGGAGCCAGAAACCUGGAGAAUAAAACGCGAGGAGCCAGAAACACGGAGAAUAAAACGCGAGGAGCCAGAAACCUGGAGAAUAAAACGCGAGGAGCCAGGAGAAUAAAAGACAAGGAACAAGGAGCCCUGAUGAAAAUGAAAGAAGAAAGGCAAGAUCUGAAUGAGCUGGAGGAGAAAUAUCGGGAUCAGAAAGAUCAGGAUGUCAAUGGAGAAAAAUCAGUGAGUUCCAGCCUUAAAACAACACAAGUCAAGAGGCCUUUCAGCUGCUCUCAGUGUGGAAAGAGUUUCAGAAGUAACAAAAUUCUUAAGAGGCACAUGUUAAUUCAUUCUGAAAUAAAGCCAUUCAGCUACGCUCAGUGUGGAAAGAGUUCCGCAUGUAACAGAAAUCUUAAGGAUCACAUGUUAAUUCAUGCUGGGAUAAAGCCUUUCAGCUGCUCUCAGUGUGAAAAGAGUUUUAAAAAUAAAGCAGGCUUAAAGUAUCACAUGCUAAUUCAUGCUGGGAUAAAGUCUUUCAGCUGCUCUCAGUGUGAAAAGAGUUUUACAAAUAAAGCAAGCUUAAAGAGUCACAUGUUAGUUCAUGCUGAAAUAAAGCCUUUCAGCUGCUCUCAGUGUGGAAAGAGUUAUAAACAAAAAAAAAGCUUAAAGAGGCACAUGUUAAUUCAUACUGGAAUAAAGCCUUUCAGCUGCGUUCAGUGUGGAAAGAGUUUUACACGGAAAACAAGCUUAAAGAAUCACAUGUUAAUUCAUGCUGAGGUAAAGCCUUUUAGCUGCUCUCAGUGUGGAAAGAGAUUUACACACAAAGCAAAGCUUGAACAACACAUGUUAGUUCAUGCUGGAAUAAAGUCUUUCAGCUGCUCUCAGUGUGAAAAGAGUUUUACAAAUAAAGCAGGCUUAAAGUAUCACAUGUUAGUUCAUACUGGAAUAAAGCCUUUCAGCUGCUCUCAGUGUGGAAAGAGUUUUACAUAUAAAACAAUCUUAAAGAGUCACAUGUUAGUUCAUACUGGGAUAAAGACUUUCAGCUGCUUUCAGUGUGGAAAGAGUUUUACAUAUAAAACAAGCUUAACUAGUCACAUGUUAGUUCAUACUGGAAUAAAGCCUUUCAGCUGCUCUCAGUGUGGAAAGAGUUUUACAAGGAAAGAAACCUUAAAGAGUCACAUGUUAAUUCAUGCUGGGAUAAAGCCUUUCGGCUGCUCUCAGUGUGGAAACAGAUUUACACAGAAGUCAGCGCUUGAACAACACAUGUCAGUUCAUACUGUAAUAAAGUCUUUCAUCUGUUCUCAGUGUGGAAAAACUUUCACGUGUAACAGAAAUCUUAAGGAUCACAUGUCAGUUCAUACUGUAAUAAAGCCUUUCAGCUGCUCUCAGUGUGGAAAGAGUUUUACAAGGAAAGAAGGCUUAAAGAAUCACAUGAUAAGUCAUACUGGAAUAAAGCCUUUCAGCUGCUCUCAGUGUGGAAAGAGUUUUACAAGGAAAGUAGGCUUAAAGAAUCACAUGAUAAGUCAUACUGGAAUAAAGCCUUUCAGCUGCUCUCAGUGUGGAAAGAGUUUUACAAGGAAAGUAGGCUUAAAGAAUCACAUGAUAAGUCAUACUGGAAUAAAGCCUUUCAGCUGCUCUCAGUGUGGAAAGAGUUUUACACUGAAAGUAGGCUUAAAGAAUCACAUGUUAAUUCAUGCUGGGAUAAAGCCUUUCAGCUGCUCUCAGUGUGGAAAGAGUUUCAUACAUAAAGGAAUGCUUGAAAAGCACAUGUUAAUUCAUGCUGGGAUAAAGUCUUUCAUCUGCGCUCAAUAUUGAAAUACUUUUACACAGUAAGGACAACUUAAUAAUCAUUUGGUAACACACUUCAUAAAAUCCUUUCUGCUGCUGUCAGUGUGGAAACACUUUCACGUUUAAAUCAAGGCUUAAGAGGCACAUGUUCAUUCAUACGGGGUAAAAGUCUUUCACUUGCUCUCAGUUUGGAAAAACCUUUACACAGAAAGGACAUGGCGAGGUUCAUUUGGUAACCCACUCUUCAUAAAAGCCUUUUACCUUGGGGAGUUAAAGUAAAUUACUGUUUUUCUGAAUGACUUUCAUCAACUGGAUCACCUCAAGCAUGUGUCCUCUCCCCCCUUAUUAUUUAUCUUGUACAUAAAGACUGUAAGAGUAGUUAAUAGGCAUUCUGUAAUGUACACAAUUCUGUAAUCAUUAGCUUAAUGAGUGAGGAGGACUCCAUAAUUUGCCCUAUGGUUUAUGAUUUUAUUAUGUGGUGUCAGAAUGUUUUCUUAAAACUUAAAGGCACAAUAUGUAAUUUUCACUGAUGGAGGGCAUGUAUUCAAAAUAAGCCGUCUAAGUGCAACAAGACCAAUGAACAAGUGUGACAAACGUACAGCUCGAAAGCAGCGGAGCUUUAAUUAUUCCAGAGUUGAUCGCUUCAGCUGCUUCCAGUCGUGCGUAUGAGAGGUAAAUCAGUACUGUUUUAUCAUACUAGAUAUAUUUGGAAGUCCUCCACAACAUUAAAACGUCUUUGGUGGUUCCAUGUUUUCUACAAAAUAAAAUCGGAAAUUGAGUGGUUAUGAAUUAAUUGGCAGGUGACACAGUGACACUAUGGCAACUGUCUGUGUUAACUAGUUGUAAACAUUCUUCGAAACAUUUGGGAUAAUGUAAGUACACAAGUCAGCAAUUAUGUAACACUUCUAGUGGUUUUUGGAUAUUGUAAUAAAAUAAUCUUACAUAUUGUGCAUUUACUGUUUAUAAAACUAAGGAGAUGACUAUUGAUUUUAACUCUUGGGUGAAAUCUAUUUAGUAUAAGCAAGCAUUAAUGGAGUAGGUAUUGAGAGUGUUAAACAGUACAAGUAUUUGGGCACUGUGUUGGAUAACACAUUGCAAUUUUCUUCCAAUACUGAGGUUUUGUGCAAGAGGGGGCAGCAAAGAUUGUAUUGCUUGUGGAAACUAAGGUUUAUUAAUAUGGAAAAAACAUUGAUGUGCAUGAUCUACAGAUCCUAUAUUGAGUUACUGUUAUCUUUUUCACUGCUGUGCUGGUUUAGUUCUCUAAAAGUGAAAAACAUGAAUUGUCUUGAUUGUAAACCAGGGAAGUAAAAUAACUUUCAUUUAUCUCCUCAGUUGUAAAGUUUUUAAUUUUAAGGUAAAAACAUUUUAGGAAGGAAAUUUAUUGGGUUUUUGUUGUUUAUGUGAAAUGUUUGAUUGCUACAACCAAAUUGCAUUUGGGAAAUAAAUAAAAAUGAAUUGAACUGAA